rnacentral:misc_RNA from 1 species
CCGCGCUUCGGCGCGGCCGACCGUCGUGAAGCAGUUUUUUCACUCGCCCUCCCGUUGCGCUUGUUUUGCGGGGGAGGGGCGCGUUGUCGGCUGUCUGUGGGUUCUACCCUUGUGGGGAAGCAACGUUCUGUUCCGCGAAUGAAUUUUAGCUUGCCCCGUCGAUGUUUUUUUUAUCGUCGGAGCAGCCGAUUUGUUGGCUAAAUGCUUGCGCUCCAGCGGGCGAAUGCCCUGCGCUCCGCGCUUGGAUUCUGCCGGCUCUCACGGAUGCCGUGUCCAUCGAGGAAUCCGUUGGCCCCUGGUCUCGGUUUUCCUCGGUAUGUCCCGUGUGCGGAUCAUUGCUCCGCCGCGCUGCCGGAUGCCGGGAUGUUGSRGCGGCGCGCGCGGCGCGUGGUCGGUGCAUGCGAGAUGUUUGCCCGAUUGAAUGAGCGACCGCCGGUUCACGUCGUGCGAGCGGGCUCCUGUUCAUUUAGGGUCCGCCGCACGAUUUGCCGGCUCUCGUUUAAGACGUGCUACCUGGUAG